rnacentral:ncRNA from 2 species
AGGACUAUAUAUGGGAGUCUGUGUACAGUCUGAGAGGAAGUGUAAGCUUCGACCGCACCUGAUCUGGGUAAUGCCAGCGUAGGGAAAUGUAUUUGUAAAAACC